GCUUCCUGAUCGCCGGUUGCAGCUGAUUGGUCGGUUUUGGGCUGAUUGGAGAGCCCCUACGCCAGCUCGUCAGUGAUUACAGCUGGUUUAGCCUGCAUAUAAGCCACAGUUCUAGUGUCUCAGAAGAGAGACACACAUGCUGUUGCUUUUGAUCUGUGGUGCGAUCUGUAAGGUGUUAUGGGUAAAGACUGCAACAGAGUGACUUACACUAAGAGGAGAAUCUGUGUCUUGAAGGGGUCAUCAGUGGACAUAUCCUGUACUUAUGUUGGUUAUAAUGGUUAUGCUGGUCGUUAUCCUGUCAUAUCAUCACUGUGGUUUAGAAGUGAUAAGAUGACUCCCAGAGACGUAACAAAAGACCCAGAGUACACAGGUCGAGUCCUGAACACACUUCCCUCCACCCUGAGAAUCACAGAUCUGAGAGAGAAGGACUCAGCUGAGUAUCGCUUCACUUUUAAAACAUCCAACUUUGAAUGGGGUCAUAGUUUCCCUGGAACAACUCUGACUGUCACAGAUGUACAGGUGAAGAUGACUCCUGCUACAGUGACUGAGGGACAGAAUGUAACACUGACCUGUAUCACAUCCUGUCCUCUGACUGACAACCCCACCUACAUCUGG